GGCGAACUUAGGCGUGUCAGGAUAAGUUAAGCUUGCGAUCACUUAUCUCUUCAAAUGUUUGUUUAAUCUCAUUUGUUCCACCGAUAUAAAUACUGCGAAGAUCUAGAUGACCUUGGCCAUAUGUUGUAGGGAAUUUGUAUGACUAUUGGGAGGACAACUAUAUUGGUCGCCAGAGACGAAACCGCAGAGUGACUCCAAGAUUUCCGAUAGCUUUAUGGAAUGUUAGAGAUAGAGU